rnacentral:rRNA from 1 species
GAUGAACGCUGGCGGCGUGCCUAAUACAUGCAAGUCGAGCGAACAGACGAUGAGCUUUCUCCUCUGACGUUAGCGGCUGACGGGUGAGUAACACGUGGAUAACCUACCUAUAAUACUUGGAUAACUUCGGGAAACCGGAUCUAAUACCGGAUAAUAUAUUGAACCGCAUGGUUCAAUAGUGAAAGACGGUUUUGCUGUCACUUAUAGAUGGAUCCGCGCCGCAUUAGCUAGUUGGUAAGGUAACGGCUUACCAAGGCGACGAUGCGUAGCCGACCUGAGAGGGUGAUCGGCCACACUGGAACUGAGACACGGUCCAGACUCCUACGGGAGGCAGCAGUAGGGAAUAUUCCGCAAUGGGCGAAAGCCUGACGGAGCAACGCCGCGUGAGUGAUGAAGGUCUUCGGAUCGUAAAACUCUGUUAUUAGGGAAGAAAAAAUGUGUAAGUAAAUAUGCACGUCUUGACGGUACCUAAUCAGAAAGCAACGGCUAACUACGUG